rnacentral:rRNA from 1 species
CACAUGCAAGUCGAACGGGAUGCUUAGGCAUCUAGUGGCGGACGGGUGAGUAACGCGUGAGAAUCUGGCUCCAGGUCGGGGAUAACAGUUGGAAACGACUGCUAAUACCGGAUGUGCCGAGAGGUGAAAGAUUUAUUGCCUGGAGAUGAGCUCGCGUCUGAUUAGCUAGUUGGUGGUGUAAGGGACCACCAAGGCGUCGAUCAGUAGCUGGUCUGAGAGGAUGAUCAGCCACACUGGGACUGAGACACGGCCCAGACUCCUACGGGAGGCAGCAGUGGGGAAUUUUCCGCAAUGGGCGAAAGCCUGACGGAGCAAUACCGCGUGAGGGAGGAAGGCUCUUGGGUCGUAAACCUCUUUUCUCAAGGAAGAAGAAAGUGACGGUACUUGAGGAAUAAGCAUCGGCUAACUCCGUGCCAGCAGCCGCGGUAAUACGGAGGAUGCAAGCGUUAUCCGGAAUGAUUGGGCGUAAAGGGUCUGCAGGUGGAACUGAAAGUCUGCUGUUAAAGAGUUUGGCUUAACCAAAUAAAAGCGGUGGAAACUACAGAACUAGAGUGCGGUAGGGGCAAAAGGAAUUCCUGGUGUAGCGGUGAAAUGCGUAGAUAUCAGGAAGAACACCGGUGGCGAAAGCGUUUUGCUAGACCGUAACUGACACUGAGGGACGAAAGCUAGGGGAGCGAAUGGGAUUAGAUACCCCAGUAGUCCUAGCCGUAAACGAUGGAUACUAGGCGUGGCUUGUAUCGACCCGAGCCGUGCCGGAGCUAACGCGUUAAGUAUCCCGCCUGGGGAGUACGCACGCAAGUGUGAAACUCAAAGGAAUUGACGGGGGCCCGCACAAGCGGUGGAGUAUGUGGUUUAAUUCGAUGCAACGCGAAGAACCUUACCAAGACUUGACAUCCUGCGAAUCCUGGUGAAAGCUAGGAGUGCCUUAGGGAGCGCAGAGACAGGUGGUGCAUGGCUGUCGUCAGCUCGUGUCGUGAGAUGUUGGGUUAAGUCCCGCAACGAGCGCAACCCUCGUUUUUAGUUGCCAGCAUUAAGUUGGGCACUCUAGAGAGACUGCCGGUGACAAACCGGAGGAAGGUGAGGAUGACGUCAAGUCAGCAUGCCCCUUACGUCUUGGGCUACACACGUACUACAAUGCUACGGACAGAGGGCAGCGAGCCAGGGAUGGCAAGCGAAUCCAGAAACCGUAGCUCAGUUCAGAUCGAAGGCUGCAACUCGCCUUCGUGAAGGAGGAAUCGCUAGUAAUUGCAGGUCAGCAUACUGCAGUGAAUUCGUUCCCGGGCCUUGUACACACCGCCCGUCACACCAUGGAAGUUGGUCACGCCCGAAGUCAUUACCCCAACCGAAAGGAGGGGGAUGCCUAAGGUAGGACUG